rnacentral:snRNA from 1 species
GUGCUCACUUUGGCAGCACACAUAGUAAAAUUGGAACGAUACAAAAGAUUAGCAUGGCCCCUGCGCAAGGAUGAUAUGCAAAUUCGUGAAGCGUUCCAUAAUUUU